rnacentral:lncRNA from 10 species
CUCCCAAAGUGCUGGGAUUACAGGCGUGAGCCACCGUGCUCGGCCUUGAACCAAGGUUUCUAAGAUGCUCUUAGCCUCCUUGGAUCUGGCCUAGCCCACCUUUCCAUCUUAGCUUUUCUGCACAACCGCCCACAGCUAGCUCAGCCUACGCCUCAGCCAAUCUGGUUCCCGACGAUGCAGAGCCGGCAUUGGCUGCAGAAGCCAGGCCUAGUCCUGUCCAGGGCCCCCUGGCCGCAGACAAAUGCUACAGACACGGCUCGUAGCACAUGGUUCUCUUUAUUGUGAUGCUCAGUGGAAAACAUCUGUAAACCAGCUUACUGUAGUGGUGACAGCUGCAACACAUGCUAAGGCACUUUUAUUAUAUAAAAAAGGGGGUAGGGUGGGAGUUUCACUCACUCCUUUGUGACAGCAACUGGGACCUGAAUUCAGAGCUUUGUAGGCAUAAGUAAAUUCGGCAACCAGUGUAGACCAGUGAGGACGAGCUACUCUCUUCUA